CCCGAAGACGAAUUUUCUACCCUUGUUUGUUAAAUGGUUGGAGAUCCAUCUUCAUCCAUAUCUGCAACUGAGGAUGCAGUUCCGAACACCAGCGUAGGAGCUCUAUGUGGUGGAUCUUCAAAUAACACACACCCUUUACAAAUUUCCCAACAACUGUCCGCUUGGCGUACCUAGAAAAAAAUUAAAGGAAAUUAAUUUAUGAAAUUAAAUGUAAUAUAAUUAAAUAUUUAAAAUAAAUUGUGAAAACACUUUUUUCGUCGUAGUAAUUAGCGCCGUUUUCAUGUCUACUUGUGGCUGCUAACAAUGCUUGAUACCAUUUGUUCAAACUUGGCUGAAUAUGUUUCUUCCAUCUUGAAGAACAGCUCUCGUUGUUUUGAAUAUUCACUGGAGUAGUG
rnacentral:lncRNA from 1 species